AUACGGAGGGUGCAAGCGUUGUUCGGAAUCACUGGGCGUAAAGGGCGCGCAGGCGGUUUGGUAAGUCAGAUGUGAAAGCCCACGGCUCACCCGUGGAAGUGCAUUUGAAACUGUCAGACUUGAGUACUAGAGGGGAAAGUGGAAUUCCCGGUGUAGAGGUGAAAUUCGUAGAUAUCGGGAGGAAUACCGGUGGCGAAGGCGACUUUCUGGCUAGAUACUGACGCUGAGGCGCGAAAGCGUGGGGAGCAAACAGGAGUAGAUACCCUAGUAGUCC
rnacentral:rRNA from 1 species